rnacentral:lncRNA from 1 species
AUCAGCUCCCUCCUGAGUCACCCCAUCUGUGCCCUUCAGGAGUGCCAGCAUCAUACCCAACCGUCCAGAUCCUUCCAUACCUCAAGGUAUGACCAGCUGUUCCCUUCAUGUGCCGUCACACCUCUCCGUCUGCACAGGCCAUUCCCUCUGCCUCAGAAGCCAACCCUGCACACCCUUCUCCAUUACAAAACUCCUACUCAUCCCCCAAAGCCCCAGCUCCGAUGCUGACUUCUGCAGGCAACUAUUCCAGCUUCCAAUCUUGGCCCCACACAGCCCCAUCCUUCCCUCUGGCCCGAUCCACUAGGGAUGCACUCACCGCUGGCCUUGGCAGCCUGCACGCACAG